CUUUGUUUCCCAUAAAGUUUUAAGUCAUAAUGUAACGUUUGUCAUAUUAUCGUUAGUCAUAAAACUGAAACCGUUAACUUUUCAGGAUUUUGGUAAGGUUAUUUUAUGGAUAGGUUAGGUUAGGUUUGUUUUAUGGCAAUCCUGAAAAGUUACGCGUUUCUGAGAAAAAACAA